UACGUAGGUGGCGAGCGUUGUCCGGAUUUACUGGGCGUAAAGGGAGCGUAGGCGGACUUUUAAGUGAGAUGUGAAAUACUCGGGCCCAACUUGAGUGCUGCAUUUCAAACUGGAAGUCUAGAGUGCAGGAGAGGAGAAUGGAAUUCCUAGUGUAGCGGUGAAAUGCGUAGAGAUUAGGAAGAACACCAGUGGCGAAGGCGAUUCUCUGGACUAUGACUGACGCUGAGGCUCGAAAGCGUGGGGAGCAAACAGG
rnacentral:rRNA from 1 species